UACUCUCUGAAUUUUUUCACCAAACUUCUCACACAACUCUCUCAAUCUCUCAUCCCUACCCAUCUCUAAACACUAUCCUACUCCCCUUUGUUGGUUUUAGAAGUUAGAAGAAACUACAAAGGAAAAAAAUUCAAGAGGUUGGAGGCUUUUUCAAGGAAUAGAAGAGUUAGAGACAGCCCAAACCCUACCAAGAGUCUACAAGAGGUUUGUGGUAGCAAAGCAGAUUUUGCUGAAACAUUUUGAUCAGGUUGCAGUUGGAAUUUUAUGCGUGCUUGGAAAUUCAUCAAGUGAGCGGGAUUAGUGGUUGAGGUGGCAAGUACAUAGGGCAUGAGUCAAUUAGGAAGCAAUUAUCAGAUAAGGGAAGGAAGGAAGCCCACGUGUGAAUCAAAGAAGGGGUAAUUUUGUAAUUAGAUAACUAAAUUGGGAAACCUAGAGGUACAAAGAAGAGGACCAGCCGCACAAAAGGAAGUCUACCUUUUUUUGAGAAAAAAAGAGAAAAGGACAGAAGGGGUUAUCCAUUGUAUGAACGAGCAAGAAGACCUUGAACUAGCUCCUAUUGACCCCGAGAUUGAACGUACAUUUAGAAGAAGAUGAAGGGAACAACGGGCUCAAAAUCGCCUUAAUAUGGCUGAAGAGGUUGAAGGAGUUAAUGGUGCUAACAAUAUCGCUAAUGCGAUUUCUAUGGCCAAUGAUAGAUAAAGAGCCAUAAGGGAGUAUGAUGCGCCUAUGUUCAGCGAUCACAAUCCGGGCAAACUUAGGCCUGAAAUUCAAGCACCCCAAUUCGAGUCGAAGCCCAUGAUAUUCCAACUGUUGUAGACAAUGGGUCAAUUUAGUGGGCUGCCUACAGCGGAUCAUCAUCUUCAUCUUCAUUCAUUUUUGGAGGUGAGUGAUUCCUUUAAGCUGCAAGGCGUUACUAAAGAGGCCUUAAGGUUGAAAUUGUUCCCUUUUUCUCUAAGAAGCAGAGAUAGAGCUUGGCUCAAUACACUUCCUUCCAACUUAGUGACUACGUGGCAUGAGCUAGGUGAGAAAUUUUUGAUGAAGUAUUUUCCUCCAACGAAAAAUGCUAAGUUUCGGAAUGAGAUUAUUUUUUUCAACAGUUGGAGGAUAAGUUGGUAUGUGAUGCUUGGGAGAGGUUCAAGGAGUUAUUGAGGAAGUGCCCACAUCAUGGUAUUCCACAUUACUUUCAAAUGGAGACUUUUUAUAAUGGUCUCAAUUCCUCCAAACGCAUGGUUUUGG